rnacentral:rRNA from 1 species
AUGACAUUCCCUCGUCAAGCCCACAGCCCAGCGCCACCGCCGUCGCACCCAUGGCCGUCGGGAGGAUCUUCAAAGGAUGACCCCGCGUCUCAAGGUGGGAUCAUCGCUGGCCUCGUCAUCGGCUUCGUGGCCUCCUUGCUCCUCUUCACCGUGGCGUGGAGCGUCUUCAAGGGGCACCGCAACAGCCGCGCUCGCGCCCGCGCCGCGGCGGCGGCCGCCGCUCGGCCGUGGCCACCGCCGGAACCUUACCACCCACGCAGCGACGAAGAGCGGCAGAGCCGAAGCGAAACAGCAAAAAAGAAGAAAGAAUGGGCCGGCCCAGUGCGGCGGGAGGACCCGACGGCCCGCCUCCCGGCGUUCAAGUACAACCGGUCCGUGAAGCACAACGUGACGGGUGAAGGAGAGGAAGCGGCGACGUGCUCCGUUUGCCUGGGCGUGUUUCAGCUAGGUGAGACGGUGCGGCUGUUGCCGGCGUGCAUGCACCUGUACCAUGUGGAGUGCAUCGACCCGUGGCUGGACGCGCAUUCUACGUGCCCGAUCUGCCGCUCGGACGCCGACCCGACGAUGGACGGUGCUCGGCUACCUCCAGCUUAA